UUUCCUACACGACGCACAUCCGAGUUACAACCGACCGUGCAAACUAGAUUCAUCCAAUCUGGCAUCAGGACUCAUGCUCCAGAAGAGCAAGGCAUCCCCCAUCUUCGGUUUAACGGAUAAACCCUUCUUCCCACAAAUCUGAUACCAAGGGA